ACCUUCUACAACUCGUUGCGGUUUAAAGGUCAAAUAUGGCGAAUCUAACCCUUUUUUGGACUUAAUGGUUUAAGUUUAGAUUAUGAAGUUAUUUGCUACUCAUUUAUUAUGACAGUGCCGGAGACGGGGUCCGAGCGGCCCUCAUAAUGGCUUUUUUGACUCUCGCUGGCACAGCCUGAUGACUGCAGUUCUGUCUUAUGCUGGAGCAGAGGCAUAGUUCUUGGCACAGUGUUGAUGCUGCAACUGUGCCACUGGGUCUUUUGGCUUUGAGCAAGCUUUCCUGAUGCACUGAGACAAGAGCACAUUUCUCCUCUAUGGCCCGACACAGCAAACUACAGCGGCAAGUCCUGGCUCUAUAUCGGCAGUUUUUGAGAGCUGCACGGGAAAAGCCUAGCUCUUUGCCUCGUAUCCAGGAGGAAUUUCAUCAAAAUGCUGCAAUCCCAAAAACUGACAUUAUGCAUAUCGAAUACCUUUACAGACGAGGACAGAGACAACUGGAACAGCUUAAAGAUUCCAGCACAAAGGAAUGUGGGGCCUUUGUCAAAACCAAAGCGGACAGCUAACAUUUUCACGAUUCCCGUUAUGUGUGCAGACUGUUCAAGAAAACAACAAGCAACAAGUAAUCUAUAGAAACUCAAUGUAAGAUUAUUGAAUGCAGACACGGCCGACUUCAGACACACUUCCUGCUAAUGAUGCAUUUGUAGAGUAUAUCUGGGACCAAUCUGCCAAGUGAUCUCCAUUAAACGGAAACCUACUUAAGGAGGUUGUUCCACAUUAUUAAGCAAGUCACCGUUCUCAUGCAAUAUAGGGAGAAAGGAAGAUCUUUCUAAAGACGAAAAAUGUGAAAUAGUGCAAUGUAUUGCAAAAGGCAUGAACACAAUUGAUAUUUCAUGAACACUGAAGAGGAUUCAUCAAACUGAAAAGAUUUGUGUGUGUAAAGGCUUGCUAAGGAAAGUUUCUGUCAGGCAAAUAAACAGCAUUAAAGGAGCAGCUAGUAAAAAGCCACUGAUGAGCAGCAAACAGAUAUUUGAAGCUGCCGAUGUCUCUCGAGUCCCAAGAACCUCUCGAUGCAGGAUCCUCCAGAGGCUUGCAGAUGUGCAUAAAGCUGUAUUUUGGCCACCCCUAACCAAUGCUCACAAAGAGAAAUGUUAGCAGCGGGCUCAGAAGUACAUGAAGACUCAUUUUUCAAAAAGUUUUAUUCUCAGGGGAAUGCCUUGCUACACUGGAUGGCCCAGAUGGAUGGAGUUCUUCGUGGUUGGUGAAUGGCCACCCUGUUCCAAGCAGACUGCAAGGAGGUGGUGGAGUGAUGUUUUGAGGUGGAAUAUUGGAAAGUGAGAUGGUAGGUCCCUUUAGGGUCCCCGAGGAUGCCAAAGUGACCUCUGCAAAAUAUGUGGAAUUUCUAACUGACCAUUUCCUGCUAUGGUAUAAAAAGAAGAACUGUGUAAUCCGGAAUAAAAUGAUUUUCACACAAGACAAGGCAUCAUGCCAUGCUGCAAAAAACACCACUGACACCUGGGUCAACGUAGUCGUAGAAAGAGAAUAAAAUCAUGGCAUGGCCUCCAUCAUCCCCUGACCUCAACCCUAUUGAGAGCCUGUGCAGCAUCCUUAAAAGGAAGGUCUAUGAGGGUGGGCGGCAGUACACCUCAAAGCAGCAGCUCUGGGGGGCAAUAGUGGUGUCCUCAGAUGACAUGCAGGUCGAAACUAUCCAAGGACUUACAAGUUCAGUGGGGGAGAGAGUUGUUAAAGUGAUAUCAAAGAAGGGCUCAUAUAUUAAUAUGUAACUUGAUCUGUAAAUAUGUGUUUUAAUUUAAAUUGUAUUUACUUUGUGAAAAAUGA